CCUGAGCCAUGUGAAAAUUGCUGUAGCAUUUCACGGCUUAUAACUUUCUUAUGGACCAAAUGGUCCAUGGUGGACCACCAACUUGCGUAUUAGAUCGGAUUAUCUUUCAGCUUUGAAUUUAAAUCCAUUUUAACUCCAUUUUUAGUCUCGUUUGAUCCCUCUAAGCCUGUAGAUCGGGCUCUUCAUGUUGGUGCAGCUCUUUUCUGUAAAAUAUAUAAAAAAAUAUCAAUUUUAAAAGAAUAAAGAUAAUUUGAUGCAUAAAUUAAUACUUC
rnacentral:lncRNA from 1 species